AUGAAUAGUCUAACGAUUUAUAGUCGUUGUACUCUAUUGUUAUAAUAUGUCUUUUUGACUGAAUACAUGUUUGUUUUAUUUGUCUAUAUCCUAGAUUCGCAGCUGUACACAUCCUUCUACACUGUAUGCAAACAUGCAACAUCAUUACACACAGUACAAGGAGUCAGACUGGCAUAUGAGGAGCAAAGGAACCCAGGCAGUAGCAUCGUUUCACAAUGUUUCCAUCAUCAUCAUCAGUGGAUGCCUUUGCCGUCCGUAGCCUGAGAUUUCAGAUUUGCAGCAAAAAAAAUGAUUUUCUCAUUUAUUGGAAUGCUGUGCAGGUAUUUGUACCUUGCAGCCAUCCAUUACAAUGUCACCAAGCCGUAACAAAAGCAGGAGAGGGAAAGUACAAGGCUAUGUUCCCAAAACACAAAUGACAUACCUUAUGUGGAGGAUGUGAUCAGGCUUGUGUUUGAUGAGGUAUUUGAAGAUAAGCUGAAGGAAACCCCGAUUCCAAUGGACCUGGCAUCACAGUUUGAGAGACCUUCAAAGGAGGACGUGAUUGCAUGCCAUCUUCAGUGCAGGGGUCGUCGAAAGCCAAAAUUGUGACCGAUCUGAUCAGGAAGCUCCAAGCGUAUCUGGAGAACAACACACGACAGGAUGAUAACCUUAUAGUGUCGUCUUAGAUAGCACCAGCUGACAAAGCUUUGAUAUGCCAUUUAUCUGAAUAGAUAGCUGUAAGAAAUGAAUUGAACAAUUUUUGAAACAAGAGCACAAUAUGGUUACUAAAGUAUGUUUAUUUAUAUAUUGUUUAACAUUUAAAUAUAUAUUUGUAAUAAAUAAAAAAAA